rfam:Ixodes scapularis strain Wikel colony gcontig_1108379033122, whole genome shotgun sequence.
GCCGGGAUGGUCUAAUCGGUUAAUGCGUCGCCCCGGACAGGCGAAGCUUGCGGUUCAAUCCCCGCUCCUGGCC